rnacentral:rRNA from 1 species
CCUGGUUGAUUCUGCCAGUAGUCAUAUGCUUGUCUUAAAGAUUAAGCCAUGCAUGUCUAAGUAUAAGCAAUUAUACAGGCGAAACUGCGAAUGGCUCAUUAAAUCAGUUAUCGUUUAUUUAUUAGUACCUUACUACAUGGAUAACCGUGGUAAUUCUAGAGCUAAUACAUGCUAAAAACCCCGACUUCGGAAGGGGUGUAUUUAUUAGAUUAAAAACCAAUGCCCUUCGGGGCUCACUGGUGAUUCAUGAUAACUUCUCGAAUCGCACGGCCUUGCGCCGGCGAUGGUUCAUUCAAAUUUCUGCCCUAUCAACUUUCGACGGCUGGGUCUUGGCCAGCCGUGGUGACAACGGGUAACGGAGGGUUAGGGCUCGACCCCGGAGAAAACGCCUGAGAAACGGCGUUUACAUCCAAGGAAGGCAGCAGGCGCGCAAAUUACCCAAUGCCGACACGGCGAGGUAGUGACGAGAAAUACUGAUACAGGGCUCUUUUGGGUCUUGUAAUUGGAAUGAGUACAAUUUAAAUCUCUUAACGAGGAACAAUUGGAGGGCAAGUCUGGUGCCAGCAGCCGCGGUAAUUCCAGCUCCAAUAGCGUAUAUUAAAGUUGUUGCAGUUAAAAAGCUCGUAGUUGAACCUUGGGCCUGGCUGGCCGGUCCGCCUCACCGCGUGCACUGGUCCGGCCGGGCCUUUCCCUCUGGGGAACCGCAUGCCCUUCACUGGGCGUGUCGGGGAACCAGGACUUUUACUUUGAAAAAAUUAGAGUGUUCAAAGCAGGCCUAUGCUCGAAUACAUUAGCAUGGAAUAAUAGAAUAGGACGUGUGGUUCUAUUUUGUUGGUUUCUAGGACCGCCGUAAUGAUUAAUAGGGACAGUCGGGGGCAUCAGUAUUCAAUUGUCAGAGGUGAAAUUCUUGGAUUUAUUGAAGACUAACUACUGCGAAAGCAUUUGCCAAGGAUGUUUUCAUUAAUCAGGAACGAAAGUUAGGGGAUCGAAGACGAUCAGAUACCGUCGUAGUCUUAACCAUAAACUAUGCCGACUAGGGAUCGGAC